CGCCAGCCUUAUGCUUAGAUGUGGUUAUAGCUUUAGACAAACAUGCUAGACUUUAGUCAUUCUUAGUCGUGAGUUCAACAGAUUUGUUUUCACGUUCAUCCAACAUUUUUCUUGAUUCAUAGGCAGUCUGCUGAAAUAGUUCACCAGUCAUGCAGGUUGCGGCCAAGGACGGACGAACGAACCCAGGCUUUGAGGACGUUGACUUAGGCACUGGAUCUUCAAGCUUUGACCACACCCAAAACGGUCCGCUUGGCAACACAAACCCGGGCAACCAGACAGAGCCGACGGAAGUGAGCAAUAGCGAUGACAACUCUUCUAAUGGAGCUGCUGUGGCCGGGACGGCGGAGAAAUCUCCUCGUGGUGCUGUCAUUGUCCGAUUGGACAGGUCUAUUUCUCUGCCACAUUUAGUGGCUAUUUUGUUCGCUGUGAGUGGAGGAUUGUCCAUAUUCAUCUCCCCUGGUCCCAUCUUGCAAUACUCCGGCUCUGUGGGACUGUCACUCAUCGUCUGGUUCUCUGGUGGAAUUGUGAAUCUCUUGUCAGCGUUAUGUUACACAGAACUGGGCAUCCGUUUCCCGGAAGCAGGGGGGUCGUAUUCGUACGUUUUGCAGACAUUCGGGUCAAUGGCUGGUUUUGUUACCUUGUGGGGCUAUAUUAUUCUUCUUGUGUGCCCUGCUUGGGCGUUGUUGGCUUACGUCUCGGCCGUGUACAUCGUCCAGCCGUUCUUCUCAGGCUGCGCCCUGCCACUAGUGGGAGUGAGGCUUCUGGCUGGGGCUAUUUUCUUAUUAUGCGCCGUCCUGAACUGCAUCAACGUCAAGUACAUCUCCAAAAUUCAGAUAUGGUUCAGUGGGGCAAAAGCAACGGCUAUUGUACUUAUCAUCGUGGGAGGAAUAUACGAAAUGGCAUUGGGAAACACUGAGAACUUUAGCCAGCCUUUUGAGGGAAGUUCAACUAAGCCAGGCGAAAUAGCUUUGGCCAUGCUUUCAUCUUAUUUUGCGUAUGGAGGCUGGCAAGUGAUAGUGAAUAUGAUGGAGGAGAGCAAGCAUCCAGAGAGAGAUCUACCUCGGUCUGUGUACAUCAGCUUCACUCUGAUCAUCACCCUCUACUGUCUCACCAAUAUGGCUUACUUCUCCAUUCUAAGCCACACGGAGAUAACAAGCACCGAUGCCGUGGGUGUGCUAUUUAUCAGCCGAUUGUACAGUCCCCUUACUACGGUGAUAUCUGUUCUCGUCGCCAUAUCGUCUGCUGGGUCACUUGUGGCUGUCGUGAUGGGACACUCAAGGUUAUUAUUCGCAGCGGGUCGUGUGGGACAUAUGCCGUCGUUUGUGGGGAUGGUUCACCAGAAGUAUCGCACUCCAUCGCCAUCUAUCAUCAUUCUUAGUUUCCUGACUCUAGUUAUGCUGUUCACGGGACAAGCGCUAGUCCUGAUGGAGUAUAUAAGCCUCUUCAGCGCUCUUAUGUCUGUGGAAUUGCAAAUAAUUCUUCUGUACCUACGAUGGAAGAGAACCAAUGAGACGCCAUCAUUCCAGGUGCCUGUGAUUAUCGCCGUGCUCCUCCUGUUAUUUCACCUUGCCGUGUUGGUGUUGUCUGUAUACCAGAAGCCUCGUCAGUUGGGCAUCGCUCUGGCAAUCAUCGUUUCGGGUAUUCCUGUCUACUGGCUGGCGGUGUCAUGGAAACAAAAGCCCACAUCAUUCACAAACUUCAUUGAUACUCUCACCAGGAUCGUACGUUGUACUCUGGAUGUGAAGAAGACAGAAUAAAUAUUCGCUACUCCUUGUAUGUUGCCGUAAUUCUGUAACCGUUCGCAGACGUCAUUAUUUCAUACUUAUUUUGCACCAGCUAGGAACUAUGAAGAGUAACCUGCCCCUUACCAGUGAGAUAUUUGUAGCAAACUCCAGCCUGUUGUCACCAGUUACCCUUAGGCAUUCAAGGAGAUCAAAAGAUAAAAAUGAUGCCACAAUCAGAUAAAGGAUUCUGAAAACUUAUUUGCAGAUAUUUGAUUUAUUUAUUUGAAUGAUGUUUAACGCCGUACUCCAUAAUAUUUCACUUUAUACAAAGGCGGCCACCAUCAUGCUGAGAGGAAACCGGGCGGAGCCCCGCUGAAACCGACGAUCAUUGCUGGCAAACAUACCCAUGUAUGGCAGGAGAGGAAGCCAGCAUGAACUUGACUUAACCAGACAUCCAGCGAUCGCCUUGGUCAGAGGUUCCUGGGGCAUUCCGUCGCGCCUCGUCUAGGGUGCUAUAUACCUAUACUGUAUGAUAGCGCCGAUACUUACUGGAUACUUGGACUGGAGGACACUGCCGACUGAGCUCUUUCAUGAACAAUAAAAGUAAGCCUACAAGUACCUUGCGACAAAACGUUCAGGGCCGAUUUCCGUGGACCGAGAUCAGAGCAAAAUGGUUACUUAACGCGGUCACAUUUUUACUUACAUGUAUCUAUGUAAACAUGCCAACUUAUUUUAUUGCUUUUUGUCACCAUGCGUUCGUAUUUAAGGACAAGCGUAAUAGUGUAUUUGAACUAUUUCAAUGCAUUCUUUUAUACGUUUUUUUUUGUUUGACGAGUCCAUUGACUGAACGACGACUGAAAUGGCAGCUUUUGUUUACAAGCUCUUUAUUUUUAAUGUUACAUCACAGAGCAUCCAAAUAAAUAAAUGUGAGAUGACGGACAGUUUAAUGCAAAGAGGAAAAAACAAUCGUCCCUCGUCAGAUUCUUGACAAACCUACUAAAGUAAAGCUGUGGACGAACCAACAAACGAUGGAUUCGAGCCUGUUAUCUCACCCGCCAUACAUAGGACAGCCGUCCCAUCAUGUGACUCGGUCAGCAAAUACCUCAUACUGCCCUACAUGUAUCACUUUAACUGCAAUAAGAUAUUGGUUCUGAGACUGUGUACCAGGCGACUGGGAUGCACUUUAUAUAUAUUGUCUCCACUCCUUAUGUAGUUUAAUCAGAAACACGCUACCAACCUUUUGUAUUAGCAUGGUGGCCCCUUGACAUUGCGUUAUUAAAGUACAAUUUCUGCUAUUCUACCAAAACGGCCUUGAUUCACUUAUUUAUUCGA